rnacentral:rRNA from 1 species
AUGGCUCGCAACCGCAUGUACCCAUGGAGCCUCGCACUGGUGGCGCUCGUUCUGGCCACGUCGUGGAUGUGCUCACUUCAACCAUGCUCCGCUGACACGAUGGUGCCUCAGCCGACCACGACAGCGGCAAGCGCAGACAACGUACCCGUCCGAGCUGCCGCAAGUGUGCCGCUUGGUUCACCGGCUCCCACACCCGCAGCCACACCGGCGACGCCACCGAUGGCCACGGCGUCGAAGAAAAUCCCGCUGCCCGUGCCGGUACCCGAGACACUUCCCGGCGCGGAAGGCCUCGGCUUCGGCGGUGGAUACGGCGGGCAGACGGUGCCCGGCGGCGGCCUCGGUGGGUUCAACGGAGACCAGGGCUUCUUCGGCGGAUGCUGCGGAGGCUUCGGGUACAACGGCGGUCCUGGGUAUAAUAACGGGCCGUUGUUCUUCAACUCGGUGCCCGCAACAAGAUUGAGGCUGAGGAUGGUGGCAACGGGAAACGGCUUCGCGCCUCUGCUGGUGGCUGGUGCUGCAGCCAUGUUUUACGCGUGA